GUAUAUUUGAGCUCUAGUAACCCAAAGUCGAAUCCUAUAAUAUCCAUUCGAGCUGGUUUAAUAAAGAUGAUUUAAAUAGUUAGGUAAUAUGUUGUAUUUGCGAUAAAAAAUGGUUUGACAAAGCUAUUAGAAGUGUGGUCGCAAGGUAGCUUGUGGCUUAGAAGUUUCUUUCACAGUUAACCAGUUGUAUCAGUUGGUUGCAACGAUUUUGUUUUUCAGGGUGAGACCUGUCACUGUCAGGAGGUGUCCAGCCACUGCGGCGGCGCCAAGGACAAUAGUGGCAUCGGCACACCUACUAGGCCUCUGGCAGCGCACGAGUGCCAUGAAGGUGCUGCAGCAGAGCAACAGCCACCAGAUGCAGGCCGGCAGCAGCAGCACUCAAAUGCAGGCAAGAGGAAGCUGGGCAGCCUGGCAAUGUAAUUUGAUCUCCCUCCUAUGACCAUAUAGUUGCACCUUGAAGAUAUUCAACACAGGCCACAUUUCCAGGAACAAUCAGGUCACCAUAUCGACAUAGCAGAGCAACCUUCCACCACAAAUGGCACCGCUUCAAGCGCAUCAUCAGUAUUCACCGCCCAGAUCGAUGCAGCCGCCCAGAAUGCUGCCGAGAAAAUCUUUGCGGAACUGUGCAACCUAACAAUGGAUGCAGAAACUUAAAUUUUCUUUUCCAACACAAAUUCAUCCUUUUCACCUUCAUUUGAGGUGCCAGAUCCAUUCCUGGGUGCUUCUACCAAUAUUCUAGCUACAUUCACAAUUAAAGAGGUACACCGAGAUCAUCUGCACCCACCUCCAUACCUUGCAACGGACAUAAAUUUAUCACUAAUUCAAAUUAAAUCACAAUGGUUACAUAUUAGGAACAACACAGCCAUCCUAGGAACUUCACAUGCAGUAACGCCUGUACCACAAAAUACGAUAGGCAGGAGCACUUUCAUACUAACAUAUAGUUAUGUAUUAUACAUGUAAAAUAAUUGUGAUGUAACAUAUACCUACUAAUAUUUGCAACUGUCACAAUGACACUAAUUUUAUAUCUAUUAA